GAUGAACGCUGGCGGCGUGCCUAACACAUGCAAGUCGAGCGAACGGACGAGAAGCUUGCUCCCCUGAUGUUAGCGGCGGACGGGUGAGUAACACGUGGAUAACCUACUUAUAUGACUGGGAUAAUUUCGGGAAACCGGAGCUAAUACCGGAUGAUAUUUUGAACCGCAUGGUUCAAAAGUGAAAGACGGUUUUGCUGUCACUUAUAGCUGGUUCCGCGCUGCAUUAGCUAGUUGGUAAGGUAACGGCUUACCAAGGCAACGAUGCAUAGCCGACCUGAGAGGAUGAUCGGCCACACUGGAACUGAGACACGGUCCAGACUCCUACGGGAGGCAGCAGUAGGGAAUCUUCCGCAAUGGGCGAAAGCCUGACGGAGCAACGCCGCGUGAGUGAUGAAGGUCUUCGGAUCGUAAAACUCUGUUAUUAGGGAAGAACAGAUGUGUAAGUAACUGUGCACAUCUUGACGGUACCUAAUCAAAAAGCCACGGCUAACUACGUG
rnacentral:rRNA from 1 species